GUCAACCUGUUCUUCAGUACUUGGUUAAACUACUGGGUGCAGACUUCGGUGUUCUUUUAAUUCUACUGCGAGAAAUCGAACGAAGCGGACUGCUACACAAUCUUCAGACAAAAUUCUAUUUGAAAGAUGAAGGAAAUUCCGAUUCUGCGGGUGAUGAUCAUCGGUCUAUGUAUGUGGAAGGCGACAGCCGAUAUCACCACCAGGUCCGUCAUGGUACCAGUGGACUCGACGGUAUUGCUUGAUGAGCAUAAUAGAUAUAGGAAUAACGUCGAUCCACCUGCCAACGGCUUGAAGUCGAUGAUUUGGAAUACAACUCUUGCUGCAGCAGCACGGAAUUGGGCUUCCAAUUGC